rnacentral:tRNA from 1 species
GCCUGGGUGGCUCAGUACGUUGAGCAUCUGACUUCGGCUCCAGUCAUGAUCUUGCAGUUUGUGAGUUCGAUCCCCACCUCGGGCU